rnacentral:lncRNA from 1 species
CCAAGGUAACACAAAUAGCUAACCACAACCUCCACCAAUUCAUGAUGUGCCUGGCCUUUUUAGCCAUGCUUAGGAAAGCUGCUUAACUUUAGUAUUCAAGCCUCCAAUGGUGCUUGAUCUACUCAUUCAACUAACUUAGUCAUCAAUUUGCUAACCACUUUAUCAAUAGUAGAAGGAGGAAAUAUUUGUCCAACUUAUCAUCAGUGAGACAAGAGGAAG